AGCGAACGCUGGCGGCGUGCCUAACACAUGCAAGUCGAACGCGAAAGUCCCGCAAGGGAUGAGUAGAGUGGCAAACGGGUGAGUAACACGUGGGUGACCUGCCUUUGAGCGGGGGAUAACGUCCCGAAAGGGACGCUAAUACCGCAUGACGUCCUGCCUUUGAAGAGGUGGAGACCAAAGCCGGGGACCGCAAGGCCUGGCACUUGAAGAGGGGCCCGCGUCUGAUUAGCUAGUUGGUGGGGUAAUGGCUCACCAAGGCAACGAUCAGUAUCCGGCC
rnacentral:rRNA from 1 species